rnacentral:rRNA from 1 species
UGGGGAAUAUUGCACAAUGGAGGGAACUCUGAUGCAGCAACGCCGCGUGCGGGAUGACGGCCUUCGGGUUGUAAACCGCUUUCAGCCAUGACGAAGCUUUUGUGACGGUAGUGGUAGAAGAAGCACCGGCUAACUACGUGCCAGCAGCCGCGGUGAUACGUAGGGUGCGAGCGUUGUCCGGAAUUAUUGGGCGUAAAGAGCUUGUAGGCGGUUUGUCGCGUCGAUAGUGUAAACACGCAGCUUAACUGUGUGCCUGCUGUCGAUACGGGCUGACUAGAGGAGGGUAGGGGAGAGUGGACUUCCCGGUGGAGCGGUGGAAUGCGCAGAUAUCGGGAGGAACACCAGUGGCGAAGGCGGUUCUCUGGACCUUUCCUGACGCUGAGAAGCGAAAGCGUGGGUAGCAAACAGG